UACAAGAAUCUAAUAAUACAAUAUAGUAAUUCGUCUAUUAUUCUCUUCUUUCUUGAUGGCAAGUUGCCAUAUUAGCAAAAACUCUAACUAAACCCAAUUCUUCAAUCUCUUCAUCAUAGAAUUAGCGAUAAACCUCAAAUUAUCACAAAAACAACUCCUGCACAAGCAAAGACCAAAAUUCAUUAAAAAAAAAAACUUAAGACAAGCAACUAAUAGAAAGACAACCAGCGAAGGAUAAUACAGAGAUGAAUAAGAAUCUAUAACAACUUAUCUCAAGAUACAAUACCUCUCUGUUAGUGCAAGAAUAACUCGACCAUUAAUUUUAGCCGUUAAUUAGUUAGCAUAUUUCCUUCAUUAAAUAUUAACUUUACAUAUUUGUCAUUUCCUUGUUUGUCAUUUGAUUGUUAUGACUCCCAUCUUUUGUGAUUCUACCAUAUGCAUUUUUAUCAAUCUAGCAAAUUUUUCACAAUCAACAAAAAGAUGAUGGCUUGCUAUAACCUGCUAAUAAUUAUUUUUAACUAUUUUUUAAAGAACCAUUACAUGUCAAAGAAAUUUUUUGAAUCCUGGAAUUGAAACUAUAAGAAAUUAAUUUGAAAAGUGAGAAAAUAAUCUGUUCUUAUCUAAGAAAAUAAUCUCACAAUCUGGCAUCAAUAUGAUUUAUAAAAAAAAAAAGGUAAUUGAGUAAAAAUGACAUGUCAUUUAGCAUUACCAUCGACUCAAAUUACAAUAACAAAGUAAGUAAUUGAUAAAAACUCACUUCAUGCUACUACUCUUCAUUCCUUCGCUCUCAGCUUGUGCUUCCACUAGGUGAUUGCAAUAUGCAUCUAGAGAAAAGAACAAAAUUCAAAAUGACAAUAACAUAAAAACUUGGGAUUCUCUCCACCAAAAUAUUAUUUGAAGACUCAAAAAGGGAAAAGAACUUUAAUUUUUAAGUCUAGAGUCUCGAACUAAAAUUUAACACAAAAUGAGACCACAUAAAAACAUAUAUUAAAGAAUGAAUGUGAAAGAAUAACAUUUCGAUGCCAUUAAAGCGAAUUUUACAAAACCUGAAUCAUCUAGUUGGAAAACACAAUUUCAAAGACUAUUGAAAGAACCAAACUUCCAUUUCAAAAGCACAAAAAAAAAAGAAAAGGAAACUAAAGCACAAGCAAAAUCAAUUAGCGUAACAAUUAUCGUGCAUUCAUUCAGUGAUGUGUUUUUUGGUACUUCCAUCUCGGGGGAUGGCUCUCGUGAUGACUGUCGGCGAUGGAGCCAUCGCCUAUGUUGCCUGCGGGUGAUGGUUGCGUUGGUUGGUUGCAGGCAAUAAAUAGGCCUACCGCCCGAGUGCAUCCUUGGCGAUAUG
rnacentral:lncRNA from 1 species